rfam:Candidatus Parvarchaeum acidophilus ARMAN-5 ARM5contig_1668, whole genome shotgun sequence.
GAUAGCGUCCAUAGGCCAGCGGCAAAUCCCGUUCCCAUUUCGAACACGGAAGAUAAUCGCUGGUGCGUCUUAUGAGUACUUCGUAAAAGAGGGAAAGUAAGUUGGCGCUACAC